rnacentral:lncRNA from 1 species
UCUCACAUUGAAAAAUUAAUGUUCCUCUUCUUUCUCCCCUACACGCCACCGCCAUUGGCGAAACACGAGAACCACACCUCUUCCACCUUCACAUUGUCGUCACCCCCUUUCUUCCGCCAGAAUAAUCUUCCGUUAACGCCGAUGCAACUUACACCAUACACAAAAACGACAACCGCGACACCGCAACACCUCACCUCUUCCGGUCCCCAUCGUCAUCCAACACCAAACCCCCAGAUCGCCAUUCCCUUCCGG